UCAGCGCGAGUCGCACAAGGUACUUCCUCAGUUUAGUCACGACAGCCAGCAAGAUAAGACAAUCGAAACGAUUCGUUUCAUUGAUAUAUAUGUCUGUGAUUGAUAAUACUACAUUUUUGCCGUAGAUAUGGAAUCAGAUGGGUCAUCUGCAUUAGACAAGGAUAUGGUUUAGAAAUAACCCCCUUGAUAUUGGUGGAGUUUCAAGAAUUUGUAGCCCGAAUGAUCACGAGAAGAUUACUCUUAGAUUCAUUUUGCGAUCGAACAUCUGCAGCGUCUAGAGUGCGUUUGUCUGUCGUGGUUUAGAGGAGUCAGUGUCUCAUAGCAUUAUAAACAUUUAUACAGAAUGUCUUCAAGUCAAACCAUAGUAAACAUUGUACUGUCAAAGUUCAGCUUAGUUCAGAGCAAAACAGUUCGUAACAGAAGAAGUGGAUUUUCAUGGCUAAGAAAAUGUGUUAUCACUGCGCUGGCGACCUUGGUGUUGUUCGUUUUCAUGUGGGUCUUUUCUGCUUCAAAAAGGAUCAGCUUUGCUAUAAUACUCGGUGCAAAGGGCAGCAGAUAUGUAGAACAACAUACCACGCAAUCGGUACAUCCACUCAAUUUGAAAUCAAAUGAACUGGACCAUCUUUUUGAUGUCUAUAUUCACAACAGUACUAAAAUAAAGGAGUACUCAAACUUCAAUGCUUCGCUCUUAACCUCUGCAGCAACAUCCAUUUUCUAUCCCGUCCGACAACAGUACGAAGUCGGCGAUACCGUUGAGAUUCGGAUAUACGCGUACGACGGGAUGGGGCGCCCUCAGACUGUAGGUGGUGACUUCUGGUUUGUUAAAGCGACAUCACCCAACAAGCACUUCAGAACUGCUGCUCGUCUAGUGGAUCAUCAGAAUGGGAGCUACUCAGCUUAUUUCUUGGCGCCACUUGCUGGGAGACUGGACCUGCACGUUAUACUAGGCUAUCCAUCAGACACUGUACGGUGGCUGAGUGAGGUCUACAUGAAAGCUGAUGGGUGCUUCACUUGGGCCGCCAGAUACAACAGAUUUGACGUCGGCGAUGGCCAAGGUCGGUGCGUGGUGAAACGAGGUUUGAACCACCUGAUGAACAAGAACAUCUGCAUUUAUGGUGCCAAUGAGACUGGGAUGGGACAGAGCGCUUUUAUAUGCACCAUGCCUGAUGGAUUCAUUUGUGAUGACAUCAGAUCUAUAGUGUCUUAUGGACAGUUUGCUGGAAUAGAGCAGCCAGUUAAUCGGCUCAUUGAAGGAAAGAAGUAUCUAUUCAACAACACAUUCUACAAGACCCAGCUGAGAUCACCCCAAUCAGUGUACCACAUGGAUAUUACAGAAAAGAGCAGUACAGGAAUGCUUUCUGUAAUCUAUGAUUACAAGAUCGAACGUCCUCGAGUAUUGUGCGGCGACGGCGACAGCAGGAACUCAAGCUUACUUCCAGAAGGAUAUUGGCUAGGCCCAAAAUGGCAGUCACUCGUCUGCUCCAACACACACUCAUGGGAUGACCUGGACAACGUCAAGAAGUGCUUGGCAGGUCACAAAAUCAUCAUGUUCGGCGAUUCUAUAGCAUGCCAGUGGUUCCGAGUUCUGGAAAGGAAAUUGGGCAACAAGGAUGUGCCGAACUCGUAUUAUUACUGCACCGAGGACGAGACGCAUACAGUCAUUUAUAAGCGUCAUGUCCUCUCUGCGGCACUCACGGCAACUUUUAACUUUGCUGGUUUAGAGCGCAUGUUCGAACCCGAAUACAUGGAUAUGCUCAAUGACCCCGAUGUAAAAUACGUUAUUUUUAUCAGCAUGUCAGCGCACUACGCCUCGUGGAAUAUGGACAGCUAUCGUGACAGGAUGCGCGCGAUUCGUAACGGUAUCGCACGCAUGCGUGCGAGGCUCGGUGACGAUCGCGUAAUGGCCGUCAUCAAAAAAUCUCAGCCUCGUGAACAACCUACAUUUGAAGCUCGUGUCCAUAGCAACGACUAUGUUUUCAGACAAAUGAGUCGAAUAAUGGAGGAGGAGUUUGUUGGCAUUAAUGCCAAGCUGAUAGAUACUUGGGAUUUAGUUACAUCUUAUCAAGAGCAAGUAGCAGUUCACAUGCCAUGGCCGUGUAUCAACGAAGAAGUAGAUUUGUUUCUUUCUUACAUCUGUCCUUCUUGAAAUAAGUGAUGUUAACAUUUAAACAGAAUGAACACAUAAUUUGAAAGUAACAUUUUCCUUAACAGUAACAUCUAUCUCAUUGACAGGUAUAUGGGGGCUUAUUGUCCUCGGCAAACCAAAGACUGAGUGACAUACCAGUACAACAAGUGUUAUGGUCUAGUCUGUGCCCCAACUAAAUUACUUUUCUUGAUAUUUGCAAAGCAAAAGAAGAGAACAUACUAGACAGAGUCACAUCAGUCAAAGUAAAAAGAAAGAAGAUAACAGCGUACUUUCAUUUUGUAAAGAAAUGUCCAAAAGUGUAUUGUGCGAUUAGUGCUUCACUAUCUCGUUGUGGACAUAACAACAUUUUUUUUCAAUUCACUCUACUUAGAAGAAAAGAUCGUCAAUGAAAUUGUUUAUCUGUUGAACCUAAACUGGACUACCCUUUUCCAAUUUCUCGAAUUAAUGUAUUGUCUGUAAGUUUGUUGUAUUUAUAACGAUGCUGUGGAUCUAUUAGAUAAGUGACCACAUUAAAUAUCACAAGAUAUAGGGUUCGAAUCCCUGCAAGUUACGUCCUUUUGUGGACACUGAUCUACAUUUUCCUCGUAAAAAUAGACGUCUUCAAUAAAGUCUGUAUCGAGCGAUAGGAUUAUUGAGCAUAACAAGUAUGUGUGCUAUGAUGAAACCUUUGAUCAUCAUUAUUAUCAUUGUAACCUGUAAAUAAAUAAUCAAAUAAAAAAAAUUGAGGUAAUGAGGUAUUUUGUUUAAAUGGUUUAACUUCUAUUUCUUGAUAACCUUGCUGAG